CCUACGGGUGGCAGCAGUGAGGAAUAUUGGUCAAUGGGCGGAAGCCUGAACCAGCCAAGUAGCGUGCAGGAUGACGGCCCUACGGGUUGUAAACUGCUUUUAUACGGGAAUAACGCGCCUUACGUGUAGGGCUUUGCAUGUACCGUAUGAAUAAGGACCGGCUAAUUCGUUGCCAGCAGCCGCGGUAAUACGGAAGGUCCGGGCGUUAGCCGGAUUUAUGGGGUGGAAGGGGAGCGUAGGCCGCAUGUCAAGCGUGCUGUGAAAUGUCCGGGCUCAACCCGGGCAUUGCAGCGCGAACUGGCGUGCUUGAGUCCGCGGAAGGCAGGCGGAAUUCGUCGUGUAGCGGUGAAAUGCGUAGAUAUGACGAAGAACCCCGAUUGCGAAGGCAGCUUGCUGCAGCGGAACUGACGCUGAUGCUCGAAAGCGCGGGUAUCGAACAGGAUUAGAUACCCGUGUAGUC
rnacentral:rRNA from 1 species